rnacentral:ncRNA from 1 species
ACAAGUUUGAUUCUAGCUUAAAGUUAACUAUCCCUAAAAAAAACACAUGCAAAUUUUUAUACCCCCGUGAAAAAUCAUUUUUUUAUUCUAAAAUUUAAUAUCUUUCAAUUUAAAAUAUGAUAAAAGAUCAAUUUCAUAAUAAUUAUACUUUAAAGAAACCUCACGCCUGCAGUGAUUAAUACUAUAUAGCUUAGAAAUACGGCCUCGGUCAUAGGAAUUUAGAGUUGGUGAAACCCGUGCCAGCUACCGCGGUUAAACGACAGACUCAAGCUAACUCCUUCGGAAAUUAUGGUUUUAGAUAUAAACACUUUCAAAAGAAGUCUAAUUCUAUCAACACUUUCUAAACCAAAUAUAUCCCUCCAUCCGCCCAUGAAAGCCCAAAAAAAAACAAGGAUUAGAUACCCUUUUAUUCUGGGCCCAAAAUUAUCCAGGGUACUACAAACACAGGUUUAAAACCCAAAGAACUUGGCGGUACCUAAAUCCAAUCAGGGGAACCUGUCCUUUAAAUCGACAAUCCACGUAAAUUUUACCUUUUUUAGAAACCUCAGCCUGUAUACUGCCGUCGCCAGCUCACCAUAAAAAUGCUAGUGAGCCAAAAGACUUAUAUCUUCACGUCAGGUCAAAGUGCAGCCUAUAAAAAGGAAGAGAUGGGUUACAACUUAAAAUCUAAAUAUGAAUUAUCUAUGAAAAACCAUAUAAAAGUGGACUUGAAAGUAAUUAAAAAUAACUUAUUUUAAUGAAUAUGGCAACCUAAGGUGUGCACACAUCGCCCGUCACUCUCGCCGAAAGGGGAGAUAAGUCGUAACAUAGCAGGUGUAAUGGAAAUUGCACCUU